rnacentral:lncRNA from 1 species
AGCUCUUGAAAAAAAAAAAAAGCAACAUUGCCUUGACAGGUUUCUCUUCACCAAAAAUUGUAUAUUUUCUAUUUACCAAGAAGCAAAUGAGACUGUUAGACCAGGUUUCUCAUGAGAUUCCAGAAGACAAGUUUGUCUGUCUUUAAAUAGCUUUUUGAAUCAGGAAUUUGCAUCAUAUCACAUCAGAUAACUUUGUAGUUCUUUUAAAAAGAUGGUCAAUAUUUAUCACUCCAACUUCUCAAUGGUAAAAUAAAAGAAUCUUUGCCCACUGAUUGAGAAGGAGAGUGUAUAAUUUAAGGUACCUUAAGUUUAAUCUUUGAAAGAUUGCCAUCUUGUGGCAAUAGAUGGUAAUUUUAGUAGUUAUUUUAAUACCAAUACUUAGUCCUGCCUGGGUUAUCUAAUGUGUUUUAUGAAUGUGGCAUAGUUCUGACUUCUCCAAAUGUGUCUGUAUCCUUGUUUGUGGGGUGGGGGAGAGAUCACCUUAUGAUGUUUGCCUAAUCAUGGCAUGGAAGGCCUUGAAGUAAGGAACUGAAUAGAUUCUUUACCUCUAAUAACAGCAUCCACAACAGUGAUGAAGGCAGGAAGGAGGCAGAAUGCUUUUAGUCUAGUGAAUUUAAACCAAAAUUACUUUAUAUGAAUGAUUAUGAUGCUAUUCAAGAGCUAAAAGUUAUUUACUAUUGUCUUAAUUCAUUCCAGUAUUAUGAAUACCCAGGUUGACAGUUACCUGCUGAAUUUCAGGAGAACUGAAGGUCAUUUUGUUUCUUUUAACAUUUUAAGACAUAAUUAUUUAAUGAAUCUAGAUGAUAGAGUAAGUUGGUUUUCAGAGAGAAUUCAGUGACUCAUCUCGAAAAGCAGAGGCAGGAAUUCAGUCACAGCAUAGGGAUUUGUUGCUCUUGGAAACAGAGAAGGAAAGAAUUCUUUGCAAAUUUACAGUUCCUACAUUUCAGUCAAUCCUAUGGGUAUGGUAGGUACUGAGUUUAGAGCAGCCUAUCCUCUUGGAUCGUGCGGAGAAUAACUAUUAAGUUAUAGAUGUGGUAUGUCUUGGAAACGGAGUCCAUCUGUUUCCAAAAUAGUAUUUCCUAAAACAAAGAAAUCCCACAAAAUAAUUUUGAAAUACAUUGUGUUCUGCUCUGCACCUUGCAGAGGACAGUGACUAUUAACUCGAAAGACUUGCAGACUUUG